GACGAACGCUGGCGGCGUGCUUAACACAUGCCAGUCGAACGGAAAGGCCCUGCUUUUGUGGGGUGCUCGAGUGGCGAACGGGUGAGUAACACGUGAGUAACCUGCCCUUGACUUUGGGAUAACUUCAGGAAACUGGGGCUAAUACCGGAUAGGAGCUCCUGCUGCAUGGUGGGGGUUGGAAAGUUUCGGCGGUUGGGGAUGGACUCGCGGCUUAUCAGCUUGUUGGUGGGGUAGUGGCUUACCAAGGCUUUGACGGGUAGCCGGCCUGAGAGGGUGACCGGCCACAUCGGGACUGAGAUACGGCCCAGACUCCUACGGGAGGCAGCAGUGGGGAAUAUUGCACAAUGGGCGGAAGCCUGAUGCAGCAACGCCGCGUGCGGGAUGACGGCCUUCGGGUUGUAAACCGCUUUCGCCUGUGACGAAGCGUGAGUGACGGUAAUGGGUAAAGAAGCACCGGCUAACUACGUG
rnacentral:rRNA from 1 species